CUAUCAUGACCAUAGAGGCUGUUUAAGAAGUUAGGGACUUCUAACCAAAUAGUGAUACCUUGAAGACUAAGCCCUAUGAAAGCAAGCUUUUCAGCACAGUUGUUUCCUUCCCUAUAAAUGUGGGUGAUGAUGUAUUGCAUUUGUCUUAAAAUGGCAAGACAGUUCUUCCAUCUAUUUCUUAAAGCGCAAGGGACAAGGUCCAUGUUGGAAGCAGCUAAAAUUACCAAAGAUGAGUCAGUUUCAAUCCAAAGCUUUUUCCAUCUUCUCUGGUAAGCCAGCUCAAUAGAUCUCAUAACUGUUGAGAUCUCCGCAUGAAAGGCAGUGCCACCACCUAGGUUCUCAGCAAAACAAAGCAAGAAAACC
rnacentral:lncRNA from 1 species